UACGAAGGGGGCUAGCGUUGCUCGGAAUCACUGGGCGUAAAGGGUGCGUAGGCGGGUCUUUAAGUCAGACGUGAAAUCCCUCGGCUUAACCGGGGAACUGCGUCUGAUACUGGAUGGCUUGAGUGUGGGAGAGGGAUGCGGAAUUCCAGGUGUAGCGGAUGAAAUGCGUAGAUAUCUGGAGGAACACCGGUGGCGAAGGCGGCGAUCCUGGACCAUUACUGACACUGAAAAGCGAAAGCCAGGG
rnacentral:rRNA from 1 species